rnacentral:rRNA from 1 species
GCUCCACCAUUAAUCAUGAGUCGCGAACGGGUGAGUAACGCGUAGGUACCUACCUCAUAGCGGGGAUAACUAUUGAAGCGAUAGCUAAUACCGCAUAUCAGUAUUUAUCGCAUGGUAAAUGCUUGAAAGGAGCAGCUGCUUCACUAUGAGAUGGACCUGCGUUGUAUUAGCUAGUUGGUGGGGUAACGGCUCACCAAGGCCUCGAUACAUAGCCGACCUGAGAGGGUGAUCGGCCACACUGGGAACUGAGACUCGGCCCAGACUCCUACGGGAGGCAGCAGUAGGGAAUCUUCGGCAAUGGGGGGAACCCUGACCGAGCAACACCGCGUGAGUGAAGAAGGUUUUCGGAUCGUAAAGCUCUGUUGUAAGAGAAGAACGUGAGUAAGAGGGAAAGUUCACAC